rnacentral:rRNA from 1 species
UGCGUAGGCGGUUUUCCAAGUUUGGUGUGAAAUCUCCCGGCUCAACUGGGAGGGUGCGCCGAAAACUGGAAGGCUAGAGUGUGGGAGAGGAGAGCGGAAUUCCUGGUGUAGCGGUGAAAUGCGUAGAUAUCAGGAGGAACACCUGCGGUGCAGACGGCUCUCUGGACCACCACUGACGCUGAGGCACGAAAGCGUGGGGAGCAAACAGGAUUAGAUACCCUGGUAGUCCACGCCCUAAACGAUGCACACUUGGUGUGGGUCAUUCAGUUGAUCCGUGCCGGAGUUAACGCGUUAAGUGUGCCGCCUGGGGAGUACGGUCGCAAGGCUGAA